rnacentral:misc_RNA from 1 species
AAAGUCGUAACAAGGUUUCCGUAGGUGAACCUGCGGAAGGAUCAUUAUCAAAACAGCGGGCUUCGGCCCUUGCUGCACCCUUGUCUUUUGCGCACCGUAUUGUUUCCUCGGCGGGCUUGCCUGCCGGUUGGACAUCAUCAAACCUUUUUGUAGUUGCAAUCAGCGUCAGAAAAAUAAUAAUUAUUACAACUUUCAACAACGGAUCUCUUGGUUCUG